GCCCACUCGAUAAAAUAAUGGUGAAACUGUUCUUAUUGAAACACCUGAAGAGACGACGAUUGUCGUCGCCGAUCACCGCCGACAGAGUUUGUUGUCAACUCGAUUUGCCAUCGGAAGGAGCUCCAACAACCACCGGAAAAUUCACCGAUUCUCCAACAAACGCCAUCAAUCAUCUUCUUCUAAACGUAGCACGCGGCAUCUAGAUAAGCAAUUGAAUUGACGAUUAUGGAGAACACUGAAUGCCUUUGGACCUCUCGGAAGUUUGUUGAUUUCGACGAAAUCAUCAACGAGGGCUGCGUUUUGGUGAUGGGUUCGUAACUUGGUCCGUGAGAUGAAACAGGCUCGAGGAUUUUCUCUUGCAAUUGGACGCUCGGGCAGUCAAUGACUUGUGAGAUGCAGUUACGAAACACCUCGGUGAAGAGACGGAGGAUGAUUGAAAUUUAAAGUAGGCACUAAGGACGGGGAGAGAGAUUAAGAAGUGAGAAGAAGAGGCUAACAAAUCAGAGUUUAUCAUCCAUCCCUCAAAGAACCUCAGAGUGUGAUCCAUCAUCUUCAACAUCACAGCCGCCAAUUCUCAUCAACCAAGUCUCAAAGCCGGCAACGAGCGUUUACAAGAUCCUUGAAUGCCCAAUCUACACCAAACCAAUGUACCCACCAAACGAGUGGUCGAAUGUCAGAUUUCGAGUUUUGACGACGAGGCAAUCAAAAAACUAAAGUCAGUUUAAUUCUCGAUAUUCUUCGAAAGGGGAUUCGAGUCUGGUCAACCAUAACGGAAAUUUUGAGAGGAAGCACACCGUUCCUAAAAUGUUCUUGAUGGCGAAUGCCAAUGCCAACAAGAACGAACGAGAAAAUUGACCAUGGUCUUGAUGUGGUGAAGGCAAUUGAGAAGGGAAGACCACUGUUUGGAAAGCCGUUCAAGUAGGUGGUUGUCGUCGCGAUUGUGUUAAUUUCUCUUACAUCAUCUUAACCUCAUCUAUCAUCUCAUGCUUCUCCGUAGGUGAAACUAUGUAUUAGUUAGGGCGAUUCAGCCUAUGUUUGCCUUUGUUAACAAUCAUGUUCAUGUGUCUCGACUUUGCUUUUGUUUUACUUUUUAGAGUUUGAAUAGUUAUAAGUUUGUAAUUUCUUAUAGAAGAUCCGUUAUUUUGUUCCGUACA